rnacentral:rRNA from 1 species
CCUACGGGAGGCAGCAGUGGGGGAUAUUGCACAAUGGGGGAAACCCUGAUGCAGCGACGCCGCGUGAGUGAAGAAGUAUUUCGGUAUGUAAAGCUCUAUCAGCAGGGAAGAAGAUGACAGUACCUGAGUAAGAAGCCCCGGCUAACUACGUGCCAGCAGCCGCGGUAAUACGUAGGGGGCAAGCGUUAUCCGGAUUUACUGGGUGUAAAGGGAGCACAGGCGGCACGGCAAGCCUGAUGUGAAAGCCCGCGGCCCAACCGCGGGACUGCAUUGGGAACUACCGGGCUGGAGUGCCGGAGAGGUAG